AGGACGAACGCUGGCGGUGUGCUUCACACAUGCAAGUCGAACGAGGUAGCAAUACCUAGUGGCGGACGGGUGAGUAACGCGUGGGAAUCUGCCUUUAGAUGGGGGAUAACGGGCCGAAAGGUCCGCUAAUACCGCAUAGGCCGCAAGGUUAAAGGAGUAAUCCGUCUAAAGAUGAGCCCGCGUCCGAUUAGCUAGUUGGUAGGGUAAAAGCCUACCAAGGCGACGAUCGGUAGCUGGUCUGAGAGGAUGAUCAGCCACAAUGGGACUGAGACACGGCCCAUACUCCUACGGGAGGCAGCAGUGGGGAAUUUUGGACAAUGGGCGCAAGCCUGAUCCAGCCAUGCCGCGUGAGUGAUGAAGGCCCUAGGGUUGUAAAGCUCUUUGUGCGGGAAGAUAAUGACGGUACCGCAAGAAUAAGCCCCGGCUAACUUCGUGCCAGCAGCCGC
rnacentral:rRNA from 1 species